UUUAAAUAAUCAUUUACAAUUAUCAAAGACAACAUCUUUACAAAUGAUCAGCUACAACAGGUCACUGAGUGAUUGGUUAGGAGCCAUCCAAAUAACAAUUAUCGAUACUGUGACUCACACAAAUUGUGUCUCGCAAACUUACCUUCAUUAAAUUUCUAUAUACAUAGAUUCUGGUAUGCAUUGCUCGAAUUGAGAACUACACAUUUUAAA